rnacentral:rRNA from 1 species
UACAGAGGUCCCAAGCGUUGUUCGGAUUCAUUGGGCGUAAAGGGUGCGUAGGUGGCGCGCUAAGUCGGGUGUGAAAUUUCGGAGCUUAACUCCGAAACUGCAUUCGAUACUGGUGUGCUUGAGGACUGGAGAGGAGACUGGAAUUCAUGGUGUAGCAGUGAAAUGCGUAGAGAUCAUGGGGAAGACCAGUGGCGAAGGCGGGUCUCUGGACAGUUCCUGACACUGAGGCACGAAGGCCAGGGGAGCAAACGGG